UACGUAGGGUGCAAGCGUUGUCCGGAAUUAUUGGGCGUAAAGAGCUCGUAGGCGGUUUGUCGCGUCUGCUGUGAAAAUCCAGGGCUUAACCCUGGACCUGCAGUGGGUACGGGCAGACUAGAGUGCGGUAGGGGAGAUCGGAAUUCCUGGUGUAGCGGUGAAAUGCGCAGAUAUCAGGAGGAACACCGGUGGCGAAGGCGGCUUUCUGGUCUGCUCUUGACGCUGAGGCGCGAAAGCUAGGGUAGCAAACGGG
rnacentral:rRNA from 1 species